rnacentral:rRNA from 1 species
AGGACGAACGCUGGCGGCGUGCCUAACACAUGCAAGUGGAGCGACGAACCAGGCUUCGGCCUGGAGCAAAGCCGCGAACGGGUGAGUAACACGUGAGCAACCUGCCCUUAGCUCCGGGAUAGCUCCGGGAAACCGGAAUUAAUACCGGAUACGACCACGGCCGACAUCUGCUGUGGUGGAAAGGAUUCCGGCUAAGGAUGGGCUCGCGGCCUAUCAGCUAGUUGGUGGAGUAACGGCCCACCAAGGCGACGACGGGUA